rnacentral:rRNA from 1 species
GACGAACGCUGGCGGCGUGCUUAACACAUGCAAGUCGAACGAAGUGGCGAACGGGUGAGUAACGCGUAAUCAACCUGCCCCUCAGAGGGGGACAACAGUUGGAAACGACUGCUAAUACCGCAUACGGAGGGUGGGGAUUGCGUCCGAUUGGGUAGUUGGAGGGGUAACGGCCCACCAAGGCGAUGAUCAGUAGCCGGUCUGAGAGGAUGAACGGCCCCAUUGGGACUGAGACACGGCCCAGACUCCUACGGGAGGCAGCAGUGGGGAAUCUUCCGCAAUGGACGAAAGUCUGACGGGGCAACGCCGCGGGAGGUAUGACGGCCUUCGGGUUGUAAAGCUCUGUUAAUCGGGACGCGGUACCUGAAUAGAAAGCCACGGCUAACUACGUGCCAGCAGCCGCGGUAAUAC